UGGCUAAUUGGAGGCAUGGACAAUCUCCAAACUCAGACCUCUGACAGAUGCAGCCCUCUGACCAGUCUAAAGCUGGGUCCUCCCAGCUCAGGGAUGCUGUCCUCACAGGAAUGCCUAAUGGGGCUUCCUGCCUGCCCAUCCCAACCCCUGGGGCCACACAUUGCUUAUUUUGGAUUACACCGGGCAGCCUGUGCCCCGGGCAGAGGGAAGGAGAGCUUGGGCAGGACUGGGGAGUGUGACUCAUUUCUGUCUACCCAGCCAAGCACCAAAGGCAAUGCUGGCAAGUGGGAGAUGGUCCACAGCCACUCACCAGCAGCCAGAAGCCAGGCUCAGGACAGCCAGGCCUCAGCUUACACAGAGGCCAGCAAAUUUUGGGAUGCCGAGGCGGGUGGAUCACCUGAGGUCAGGAGUUCAAGACCAGCCUGGCCAACAUGGUUAAACCCCAUCUCUACUAAAAAUACAAAAUUUGGCCAGGCAUGGUGGCAUGCGCCUAUAAUCCCAGCUACUUGGGAGGCUAAGGCAGGAGAAUCCUGAAUCUGGGAGGGCCUAGGCUGGAGUGUAGUGGUGUGAUCGGAGCUCAUUGCAGCCUCAAACUUCUGGGUUCAAGUGAUCCUUCUGCCUCAGCCUCUUGAGUAACUGGGGCUACAGGCAUGCUACCAUGUCUGGCUAAUUUUUAAUGGCUGAUGGUAUGAGUUGUAUGGAUGGACCGCGUUUUGUUUAUCCUCUCCUCAGCGAUGGACAUUUGUUGUUUCCUACUUUUUGGCGACUGUGAGUCAUGCUCCACUUUGAACAUCUUGGCCCCUG
rnacentral:lncRNA from 1 species